rnacentral:rRNA from 1 species
AACGAACGCUGGCGGCAUGCCUAACACAUGCAAGUCGAACGAGACCUUCGGGUCUAGUGGCGCACGGGUGCGUAACGCGUGGGAACCUGCCCUUAGGUUCGGAAUAACUCCCCGAAAGGGGUGCUAAUACCGGAUAAUGUCUUCGGACCAAAGAUUUAUCGCCUUUGGAUGGGCCCGCGUUGGAUUAGCUAGUUGGUAGGGUAAAAGCCUACCAAGGCGACGAUCCAUAGCUGGUCUGAGAGGAUGAUCAACCACACUGGGACUGAGACACGGCCCAGACUCCUACGGGAGGCAGCAGUGGGGAAUAUUGGACAAUGGGCGAAAGCCUGAUCCAGCAAUGCCGCGUGAGUGAUGAAGGCCUUAGGGUUGUAAAGCUCUUUUACCCGGGAUGAUAAUGACAGUACCGGGAGAAUAAGCUCCGGCUAACCCCGUG